AACGAACGCUGGCGGCAGGCUUAACACAUGCAAGUCGAGCGAAUGGAUUAAGAGCUUGCUCUUAUGAAGUUAGCGGCGGACGGGUGAGUAACACGUGGGUAACCUGCCCAUAAGACUGGGAUAACUCCGGGAAACCGGGGCUAAUACCGGAUAACAUUUUGAACCGCAUGGUUCGAAAUUGAAAGGCGGCUUCGGCUGUCACUUAUGGAUGGACCCGCGUCGCAUUAGCUAGUUGGUGAGGUAACGGCUCACCAAGGCAACGAUGCGUAGCCGACCUGAGAGGGUGAUCGGCCACACUGGGAGUGAGACACGGCCCAGACUCCUACGGGAGGCAGCAGUAGGGAAUCUUCCGCAAUGGACGAAAGUCUGACGGAGCAACGCCGCGUGAGUGAUGAAGGCUUUCGGGUCGUAAAACUCUGUUGUUAGGGAAGAACAAGUGCUAGUUGAAUAAGCUGGCACCUUGACGGUACCUAACCAGAAAGCCACGGCUAACUACGUGCCAGCAGCCGCCGUAA
rnacentral:rRNA from 1 species